CGAAUAAACUUGAACAGGCUGUUGCUGGCCCCUUGGGGUACGUGCACGCUUGUCAUCUUUAUCAUUUCUCCAACUGUGCACAUAUUGUAGACCUGGGGAUUUUUCGAAUUCUAUUCGAGUAAAGGGACUGCUGUGCUUUUUUAAUAAAGUCGGCUUUCCCUUGUAUUUUUCAGGUCUAUGUCACAACCACUAGAAUGUGUUUAGAAUGUUGAAUCAGGUCUUUGUACCUAUAUAAAAGUUAAAUACAACUUUCAGCAACGGAUCUCUUGGCUCUCGCAUCGAUGAAGAACGCAGCGAAAUGCGAUAAGUAAUGUGAAUUGCAGAAUUCAGUGAAUCAUCGAAUCUUUGAACGCAUCUUGCGCUCCUUGGUAUUCCGAGGAGCAUGCCUGUUUGAGUGUCAUUUGACUUCUCUCAACCACAUCAUCAUCAUGAUGAAUGUGGCUUGGAUGUGGAGGAUUUUGCAGGCUUCUUUCUCACAAGUAGUCUGCUCCUCUGAAAUGCAUUAGUGGUGUCUGAGCUGCUAUUUGGUGUGAUAAAUUAUCUAUGCCUCUGGUAUGCUGGUCAGCAUUGCUCAUAAACAAUAUUUGACAAAUUUGACCUCAAAUCAGGUAGGACUACCCGCUGAACUUAAGCAUAU
rnacentral:rRNA from 1 species